CCAAUAGCGUAUAUUAAAGUUGUUGCAGUUAAAAAGCUCGUAGUUGAACCUCGGGAUCAAUGGAUCGGUCAUGCCAUCGGUAUGUACUGGUCUCAUUGGUUCUCACCUUCUAAGGAACCAUGAUGUCAUUAAUUUGAUGUUGUGGGGAAUUAGGACUGUUACCUUGAAAAAACUAGAGUGUUUAAAGCAGGCUAACGCUUGAAUACAUUAGCAUGGAAUAAUGAAAUAGGACAUCGCAUUCUAUUUUGUUGGUUUCUAGGAUCGAUGUAAUGAUUAAUAGGGAUAGUUGGGGGCAUUAGUAUUCAAUUGUCAGAGGUGAAAUUCUUGGAUUUAUUGAAGACUAACUACUGCGAAAGCAUUUGCCAAGGAUGUUUUCAUUAAUCAAGAACGAAAGUUAGGGGAUCGAAGACGAUCAGAUACCGUCGUAGUCUUAACCAUAAACUAUGCCGACUAGGGAUCGGAUGAUGUUGAUUUUUUAAUGACUCAUUCGGCACCUUACG
rnacentral:rRNA from 1 species